rnacentral:rRNA from 1 species
GAUGAACGCUGGCGGCGUGCCUAAUACAUGCAAGUCGAGCGAACGGACGAGAAGCUUGCUUCUCUGAUGUUAGCGGCGGACGGGUGAGUAACACGUGGAUAACCUACCUAUAAGACUGGGAUAACUUCGGGAAACCGGAGCUAAUACCGGAUAAUAUUUUGAACCGCAUGGUUCAAAAGUGAAAGACGGUCUUGCUGUCACUUAUAGAUGGAUCCGCGCUGCAUUAGCUAGUUGGUAAGGUAACGGCUUACCAAGGCAACGAUGCAUAGCGGACCUGAGAGGGUGAUCGGCCACACUGGAACUGAGACACGGUCCAGACUCCUACGGGAGGCAGCAGUAGGGAAUCUUCCGCAAAGGGCGAAAGCCUGACGGAGCAACGCCGCGUGAGUGAUGAAGGUCUUCGGAUCGUAAAACUCUGUUAUUAGGGAAGAACAUAUGUGUAAGUAACUGUGCACAUCUUGACGGUACCUAAUCAGAAAGCCACGGCUAACUACGUG